rnacentral:rRNA from 1 species
CGAACGCUGGCGGCGUGCCUAAUACAUGCAAGUCGAGCGAGGAGCUUUUAGCUCCUAGCGGCGAACGGGUGAGUAACACGUGGGCAACCUGCCCGUAAGACUGGGAUAACUUCGGGAAACCGGAGCUAAUACUGGAUAAUCUUGAUCUUCGCAUGAAGGACAAGUAAAAGAUUUAUCACUUACGGAUGGGCCCGCGGUGCAUUAGCUUGUUGGUGGGGUAAUGGCCUACCAAGGCGACGAUGCAUAGCCGACCUGAGAGGGUGACCGGCCACACUGGGACUGAGACACGGCCCAGACUCCUACGGGAGGCAGCAGUAGGGAAUUUUCCGCAAUGGGCGAAAGCCUGACGGAGCAACGCCGCGUGAAUGAUGACGGCCUUCGGGUUGUAAAAUUCUGUUCUAAGGGAAGAAGUUCUGACGGUACCUUAGGAGAAAGCCACGGCUAACUAC